AUUGAACGCUGGCGGCAGGCCUAACACAUGCAAGUCGAACGAGUGGCGGACGGGUGAGUAAUGUCUGGGAAACUGCCCGAUGGAGGGGGAUAACUACUGGAAACGGUAGCUAAUACCGCAUACCAUCGGAUGUGCCCAGAUGGGAUUAGCUUGUAGGUGAGGUAACGGCUCACCUAAGCGACGAUCCCUAGCUGGUCUGCAAGGAGGACCAGCCACACGGGAACUGAGACACGGGCCAUACUCCUACGGGAUGCAGAAGUGGGGAAUAUUGCACAGUGGGCGCGAGCCUGAUGCAGUCAUGCCGCGUGUAUGAAGAAGGCCUUGGGGUUGUAAAGUACUGGCAGCGGGGAGGCGUUACCCGCAGAAGAAGCACAGGCUAACUCCGUGCCAGCAGCCGCGGUAAUAC
rnacentral:rRNA from 1 species